rnacentral:rRNA from 1 species
GAGUUUGAUUCUGGCUCAGGACAAACGCUGGCGGCGUGCAUAACACAUGCAAGUCGAACGAAAUCUACAUGAUUUAGUGGCGAACGGGUGAGUAACACGUGAGAAACCUGCCUUACACAGAGGGAUAGCCGUUGGAAACGACGAUUAAUACCUCAUGACACCGUGACAUCGCAUGAUGAUGCGGUCAAAGAUUUAUCGGUGUAAGAUGGUCUCGCGCCUGAUUAGCUGGUUGGUGGGGUAACGGCCUACCAAGGCGACGAUCAGUAGCCGAUCUGAGAGGGUGGACGGCCACAUUGGGACUGAGACACGGCCCAAACUCCUACGGGAGGCAGCAGUGGGGAAUUUUGCACAAUGGGGGAAACCCUGAUGCAGCGACGCCGCGUGAACGAAGAAGGCCUUCGGGUUGUAAAGUUCUGUCCU